UACGAAGGGGGCUAGCGUUGUUCGGAAUUACUGGGCGUAAAGCGCGCGCAGGCGGUCUUCCAAGUCAGUGGUGAAAGCCCGGAGCUCAACUCCGGAAAUGCCAUUGAAACUGUGAGACUUGAGGAUGAGAGAGGUGAGUGGAAUUCCCAGUGUAGAGGUGAAAUUCGUAGAUAUUGGGAAGAACACCGGUGGCGAAGGCGGCUCACUGGCUCAUAUCUGACGCUCAGGCGCGACAGCGUGGGGAUCAAACAGG
rnacentral:rRNA from 1 species